AGCUGCGAGCGAACAGGGAGUAGCCCAGCACCGAAUCCCGCGGCCGAUACCGGGCGCCGGGAAAUGUGGUGUUCGGGAGGGUCCGUUAUCCCGAGAUCCGGCGGCGCGUCCAAGUCCUUCUUGAACGGGGCCACAGCCCAUAGAGGGUGCCAGGCCCGUAGCGACCGCUGCCGAUCGCGGGAGGAUCUCUCCUCAGAGUCGGGUUGCUUGAGAGUGCAGCCCUAAGCGGGUGGUAAACUCCAUCUAAGGCUAAAUAUGACCACGAGACCGAUAGCGAACAAGUACCGUGAGGGAAAGUUGAAAAGCACUUUGAAGAGAGAGUUCAAGAGUACGUGAAACCGUUUAGGGGUAAACCUGAGAAACCCGAAAGGUCGAAGGGAGAAAUUCAUUCGCGUUUCGCGGUAGGCGUUCGGCGGUCGAGCGACGGGAGAACGUUCGCGCGUUCUCCCGCGCCUUUCGUCUUACGAACCGAUCGCGAACGCGUGCACUUUUCUUCCGGUAGGACGUCGCGAUCCGUCGGGUGUCGGUCUACGGCUAGCGGUGGAGCCCGUCCGUCGUCGCUUUUUUCGACGUACGAACGGACCCGCUCGUCCCGGCCGACCCGCUCGACGGUAUACGGAAUGGUUUAAGGCCGCUAUAUUAAAACAGCGUUCGACUCGCGGCAAGAGCGUCAGCCGCGUCGGCGAUCGGACCCAGUGCCGAUUCCGACCUCUGACGACUGUUGGUCGCGAAGUUCUCGAACAGACCUUAGGACCGAUCCGCGACGCUAUAGCUUUGGGUACUUUCAGGACCCGUCUUGAAACACGGACCAAGGAGUCUAGCAUGUGCGCGAGUCAUUGGGAAUAUCACUAAACCUAAAGGCGCAAUGAAAGUGAAGGUCUUCCUAGCGAAGACCGAGGGAAGACGAGCGGUAUUCGCCCUUAAAAGCGACCGUUCCGCAUUCCCGGGGCGUCUCAUUCUCAUCGCGAGAAGAGGCGCACCAAGAGCGUACACGCUGGGACCCGAAAGAUGGUGAACUAUGCCUGGUCAGGACGAAGUCAGGGGAAACCCUGAUGGAGGUCCGUAGCGAUUCUGACGUGCAAAUCGAUCGUCGGAACUGGGUAUAGGGGCGAAAGACUAAUCGAACCAUCUAGUAGCUGGUUCCCUCCGAAGUUUCCCUCAGGAUAGCUGGCGCUCGUCGCGCACGAGUCUCAUCCGGUAAAGCGAAUGAUUAGAGGCAUUGGGGUCGAAACGACCUCAACCUAUUCUCAAACUUUAAAUGGGUGAG
rnacentral:rRNA from 1 species